rnacentral:rRNA from 1 species
GCGAGGUAACGGCUCACCAAGGCAACGACGGGUAGCUGGUCUGAGAGGAUGGCCAGCCACAUUGGGAUUGAGAUACGGCCCAGACUCCUACGGGAGGCAGCAGUGGGGAAUCUUGCGCAAUGGCCUAACGGCUGACGCAGCGACGCCGCGUGUGGGAUGAAGCUCUUCGGAGUGUAAACCACUGUUGCCCGGGACGAACAGCUCGAUUAGUCGAGCCUGACGGUACCGGGUGAGGAAGCACCGGCUAACUCCGUGCCAGCAGCCGCGGUAAUACGGGGGGUGCGAGCGUUGUCCGGAAUCACUGGGCGUAAAGGGCGCGUAGGUGGUUUGAUAAGGGUGUGGUGAAAGUCCGGGGCUCAACCCCGGAUCUGCCGUGCCGACUGUCAAACUCGAGGACUGUAGAGGCAGACGGAAUUCCGGGUGUAGCGGUGGAAUGCGUAGAGAUCCGGAGGAAGACCGGUGGCGAAGGCGGUCUGCUGGGCAGUUUCUGACACUGAGGCGCGACAGCGUGGGGAGCAAACAGGAUUAGAUACCCUGGUAGUCCACGCCGUAAACGAUGGGUACUAGGUGCCUGGGGGAGCGACCCUCUGGGUGCCGGCGCUAACGCAGGAAGUACCCCGCCUGGGGAGUACGACCGCAAGGUUGAAACUCAAAGGAAUUGACG